rnacentral:rRNA from 1 species
UACAGAGGGGGCAAGCGUUGUUCGGAAUUACUGGGCGUAAAGGGCGCGUAGGCGGCCUGUUAAGUCGAACGUGAAAUCCCCGGGCUCAACCCGGGAACUGCGUCCGAUACUGGCAGGCUUGAAUCCGGGAGAGGGAUGCGGAAUUCCAGGUGUAGCGGUGAAAUGCGUAGAUAUCUGGAGGAACACCGGUGGCGAAGGCGGCAUCCUGGACCGGCAUUGACGCUGAGGCGCGAAAGCUAGGGGGAGCAAACGGG